AGGUGAGUAAGUCCUUCUGAAAGAAUGAGGCCCGUGGAUACGGGGUGGGAUGAGUAAGAAAGGGUUCACCU
rnacentral:sRNA from 12 species